AACGUACUCACUCAUUUGUAUUAUUCAUUGCUUUCUACAAUCUGUUUUCCUAAUCUAUAAGCAAGUAUGGCAUCCUGCCAGCAGUAUCAGAGCCCACAUCUGCAGGGGCAGAUUAUGACUGGCUUAUGCAAGGCCUAUCCUCAUCUUAAUCUGGGUAUCACUUGUAACAAGGGAAAUCUUGUUCCUUCUGAUUGCAGGGUAACUCUUGUUGCACGUAAUUCCAAUGACCCAACUCAGAAGUGAAUGAUAGUGGAGAAAGAGAGUAGAAACGAUAAUGUUAGAAACCUGUGUGUCCUUGUGAACACAUACACUGUACGGGCCCUUUGUGCUAAGGGUGACGAGGUUGUCCUGACCGAGUAUAAAGUUGAUAAUAUUGAUAAGAGUGUGCUGUGGAGUCUAAGUGAGGACAUGUGAGAUAGGUUUCAGAAACUAAUUAGCGCAGAUGGCAAACUCUGGACUUUUGAGGCGGGUGACCAGGGCAUUAAAAGUAUGUUGCGGACCAGCAACGGCCAGGACAAUCAGCUCGGGAAACUCCUUCCAUCCUACUAAAAAUAUUACCAUAAUAUAUGAUGUAUGGAGAUAUAUAUUUGCUAUUAACUAGCUUAUAUUUAAGGUUA